CAUCAUCAGAGAGACGUGUCACUCGCAGUCGAUCGACAGCUCUCUGUAUCUGUCCCGACUGUGAGCGAUGGUUUCACUACCUAGAGAGAGAUACCCCGUCAGAUGACGCUGCGGCGUGCUAUACAUGCAAAGUCGAGCGACAGACAAGGAGCUGCUCUUUGACGUAGCGGCGGACGGGUGGAGUAACACGUGGGUAACCUACCUAUAAGACUGGGAUAACUUCGGGAAACCCGGAGCUAAUACCGGGAUAAUAUUUCGAACCGCAUGGUUCGAUAGUGAAAGAUGGUUUUGCUAUCACUUAUAGAUGGACCCGCGCCGUAUUAGCUAGUUGGUAAGGUAACGGCUUACCAAGGCGACGAUACGUAGCCGACCUGAGAGGGUGAUCGGCCACACUGGAACUGAGACACGGUCCAGACUCCUACGGGAGGCAGCAGUAGGGAAUCUUCCGCAAUGGGCGAAAGCCUGACGGAGCAACGCCGCGUGAGUGAUGAAGGUCUUCGGAUCGUAAAACUCUGUUAUUAGGGAAGAACAUACGUGUAAGUAACUAUGCACGUCUUGACGGUACCUAAUCAGAAAGCCACGGCUAACUACGUGCCAGCAGCCGCGGUAAUACGUAGGUGGCAAGCGUUAUCCGGAAUUAUUGGGCGUAAAGCGCGCGUAGGCGGUUUUUUAAGUCUGAUGUGAAAGCCCACGGCUCAACCGUGGAGGGUCAUUGGAAACUGGAAAACUUGAGUGCAGAAGAGGAAAGUGGAAUUCCAUGUGUAGCGGUGAAAUGCGCAGAGAUAUGGAGGAACACCAGUGGCGAAGGCGACUUUCUGGUCUGUAACUGACGCUGAUGUGCGAAAGCGUGGGGAUCAAACAGGAUUAGAUACCCUGGUAGUCCACGCCGUAAACGAUGAGUGCUAAGUGUUAGGGGGUUCCGCCCCUUAGUGCUGCAGCUAACGCAUAAGCAUCCGCUGGAGAGC
rnacentral:rRNA from 1 species